UACGUAGGGGGCGAGCGUUGUCCGGAUUCAUUGGGCGUAAAGCGCGCGUAGGCGGCCCCGCAAGUCGGCCGUGAAAUCUCCGGGCUCAACUCGGAGGGGUCGGGCGAGACUGCGAGGCUCGAGGUGGGCAGAGGGCAGUGGAAUUCCGGGUGUAGUGGUGGAAUGCGUAGAGAUCCGGAGGAACACCAGUGGCGAAGGCGGCUGCCUGGGCCUGGCCUGACGCUGAGGAGCGAAAGCCAGGGGAGCAAACGGG
rnacentral:rRNA from 1 species